UACGUAGGGGGCAAGCGUUGUCCGGAUUUAUUGGGCGUAAAGAGCGUGUAGGCGGCCAGGUAGGUCCGUUGUGAAAACUAGAGGCUCAACCUCUAGACGUCGAUGGAAACCAUCUGGCUAGAGUCCGGAAGAGGAGAGUGGAAUUCCUGGUGUAGCGGUGAAAUGCGCAGAUAUCGGGAGGAACACCAGUGGCGAAGGCGGCAUCCUGGCCAUGUACUGACGCUCAGGGGCGAAAGCGUGGGGAGCAAACCGG
rnacentral:rRNA from 1 species